UGUUUAGCUAACUCUCACUCAAAAGGGUGUAUCUGGAACAACACAAUCAGGUUAUGGGAUGAAUUAUUUUCUCAUACCAGUUUAAGAGUGGGCAAUGGUGAGAGAUUCAGGUUCUGGACUGAUACAUGGAUAGGCGAUGAGAGUUUGGGAACCAGAUUUCCAAUAUAACUGUUCUAUCAACAAGGAAGGUACUAUAGCUGAAUUCUAUACAAAUUCAGGUUGGCAUUUUAAUUUUAGAAGAAAUUUGAACAAUUGGGAGAUAGAAGGAUUCUGUCAGAUGAUGCAGCAAUUAGAAUCAGCGCGUAUUGACACUAAUAAAAGGGAUUCUCUGAUCUAGAAGAAUAGCAAGGGCAAAAAAUUCUAUGUGAGCAAUUGCUACAAUUUGUUGAUGAGGCAGACAAGUUUUUGGGAACCCAAUUGGCCGUGGAAGAUGAUUUGAAAGACAAAAGUCCCUAUGAAAGUAGCUGUCUUUGGUUGGAUUGUAACUUGGGGAGGUUUUUUUCUGGCUAACAGGUGCUAUUUUGUGAGGAGGAACAGGAAUCUGUUGGACAUCUUUUUUUGCACUGUAGAAUUUCUAGACAGCGCUGGGACUUUUUUCUGAGUAUUUACGGUAUCUCUUGGGCUAUACCUAAUAACAUAAGGGACUUUCUUAAGUGCUGGCAAGGGCAGAGAAUACUGAAAAUCUUGAAGCAGAUUUGGAAUACUAUUCCUUUAUGCAUAUUUUGGAUCUUAUGGCUAGAGGAAUAGAGCUUGUUUUUGAAGGACAAAGAGAUCAUUUUUCUAGAACUAAGAACAAAUGUUUACAGAAUCUUUUCUUAUGGUGUAAGGGCAGUCUUAUCGGUAGCACAAAUGAGUAUAUAGAGUUUUUGGAUUUGCUAGGAGGAAGACAGUAGAUGUGGGAUCUUUGUUUUGAUCUGCACUCCUUUGUUUUUGCACUUCUUGUACCAUCUUGGUACUUUUUUCUAUAAAUAAAACUUUACCAUUUCCAAAAAAAAAAAAAAAAAUCUUCAGUCUUUAAGCCUAAAUGCCAAAGUGAAAACUCAGUUUUGGGAGCCAUUGUUGCUGGCAAGUCUUACCUUCCGCUAAGCCAUUCCCUACAGCUUCCUCAAAGCCAUCGUUGACGGUAUGAUCUCAGUGAUUGAUAGAGUUUCGGUCCUUCACUUUGCUCAAUAGCUGCAAGAUUUGUUUAAUGUGGCUGCUAGCCUAAUAGUAUAUUGCAAUUUAUUGAAGCUGAACAAGUAAGCUGCCGAUUGCAGAAAUGCUUUCUCCAUUCAGAAUCUGAAGCCAUUCAAUGCUCUAACCUUAUUCAAUGCUCUAACCUUUGCUUCAGAGUAUUCUACUUUUGUUGUUUCAUUUGUUACUAUAAUUUUCUAGCGAAAUUCGCGUUUGUUAUUUUAUGAUGAGUUUUGUUGUAUACAGAAUGCUGGAGUGAAAGAAGAGUUGGUCACUUGUGUUGUUGGCUGGCUAUUUGAGCUGUAGAGUUUACUUCCUCUUGGAGGUGGAAAAAGAUCUCAAGGAUUUAGCAUGUGUGUAGUGUGAUAUGACCAAGUACUAGAGCCAGUGUUUGGUGGCGUAAUGAACUCAAACUGUAAAGUAUUUCAGUGCAAUUAUGUAGUAGUGGGGUGAAGUAGGAAGAGCACAGUUGGUGAUGUGUGGAUUAAGUGUCAUGCCAUGGGUUCGAAUCCUGCCACACAGACAAAAGCCUGGUAUCUAAGUGGGGAAGGAUAAAGUGGUGGAUCCAUUAUACACAAUGUCGGUGUUCGGUGGCGUAAUGAAAUCGAGCUCUAAAGAAUUUCAGUGCAGUUAUGUAGUAGCGGCGGUCAAGUAGUAAAGUGUGCAGCAAGUGUUGUGGGUUAAGUGUCAUGCCACUGCUGAGUUUACCCUGUGCGCACCCGAAGGAUAGCGGCUGCAGAUUCCCAUGUCAUAAAAAAAAAAAGUGUCAUGCCACAGGCUCGAACCCUACCAACACAAAUGAAAGCCUGAUAUUUAAGCGGAGAAGGAUAAAUUGGCGGAUCCAUUAUUGACAAAGUUCUGAGACCAGUUAGGAGAGCCGGUGCUUGGUGGCUUAAGAAACUCUAAGUGGCCGUCGGUAGUAAGAGUGCAACUAGUGAUGUGUGAAUUAAGUGUCAUGCCACAGGCUCGAAACCUGCCACUUAACAAACGCCUUAUAUUUAAAUGCAGAAGGAUAAAGUGAUAGAUUCAUUAUUCAUCAAUUUCAAGCCGUUCGAUUUUAAUGAUUUCUCAAUCAUUAAAAAAGGGGAUGUUGUACUAUUUGGCCGCAGUGGUGGCGCAGUUAGUGAUUAUGCAUUGUAGUUGGGGCCAGAAAGUGUGUACUAUCAAAAGGUAUUGAAUACUGAGUGUACUUGGAGCACUUUCUUGUCCAAGGUAAGAGUUAAAUAUCAUUAGAAAUAUAUAAAAUUGCGUGCA